rnacentral:rRNA from 1 species
GAUGAACGCUAGCGGCAGGCUUAAUACAUGCAAGUCGAGGGGCAGCAGUCCCGUAGCAAUACGGGAGCUGGCGACCGGCAAACGGGUGCGGAACACGUACGCAACUUUCCUUCAAGUGAGGAAUAGCCCAGGGAAACUUGGAUUAAUACCUCGUAAUAUUAUGAAGUGGCAUCACUUUAUAAUUAUAGCUCCGGUGCUUGAAGAUGGGCGUGCGCCUGAGUUAGGUAGUUGGCGGGGUAACGGCCCACCAAGACCUACCGAUCAGUAAACUGGUGUGAGAGCACGACCAGUCACACGGGCACUGAGACACGGGCCCGACUCCUACGGGAGGCAGCAGU